AGCUGGGCUAUGCUGAGUCCAGUGACCCCUAGUGGCGGCCAGCAGCACUAUAGCCCAUUUCUGUGGGGGAAAGGAAAUUCUGCAUGCACAACAUUAAUUUCUGCAAAAUUCUGCAUUGUGCAGUGGUGCAGAAUUCCCCCAGGAGUAAUACAAGGGUGACUAGCACACUAGAAAUGCACAUGCAAACAUACAUAGAGAUAAGGAACAGAAGAUAUAAUGCAUCUUGAUUUUUAGUGAAGCAUUUUAUACAAUUUCUCUUGAAAUAUUUACUUACAACAUCAAUUCAAGUUAGCUUGGACAUACAUAGAAUUGAGAGAGUAAUUUGCCUGAGAAUAAUUUACUGGAUCAGUUUAGCACAGUUUGGCUCAUGAAAAGCCUGCAGAUUGUGAUUUUUGUCAAACAUAUUUGUUUUCAUUUUUCCACUGCCUCUUUUAUUAUUAUUUACUGCUUCAUCAUAACCAGCUGAAGAUGAAUAGCUGAUAUUGCCAGUUUGGGAUAUGGUGUUUGAGAGACUUGGCUAGUGAGAGACCCUACUUUGAAGUUGCAGGUCAGUUGAAGUUCUGAAGCCCACCCCCCUCCCUAGGCUUCAGAGCUUGAGCUCCAGCCUGAGUUGCAACAUCAAAGUGCUGUCUGUACUGCUGUUUUUAGAGUGCUAGUGUGAGCCCCGCUAGCCCACCAAGUUGGGUCUGGUGCAGUCAGUCUGCAAUGAGACAGGUGGACUGAGCUGAGCCUCGCUGUCUUAAGGAAUACCCUGCUUUCUCUCUAUGUUUUUGAUUCUUGUGUGU